CAGCAGCCUCGAACUUCACUUACUCCCCGCCUCUAAAAUGUUUCACAAACACCUUGCCUGCACAGCUAGGACUCGGCCACUGGCCCGCUGGUACUUCACAGUGCCCUGCGCCAACCCCGGAUGCCAUCUUUCUUGGGCUCUUUGCGUCUUGAAUACUUUUUAUGAGUUUUGCAUUCUGAUCACGUCCUUGUGUCUUUGAAAACUUCCCCCAACUUUGUAAGGAGAAAAGAAUCGUCUGGUAGGGACCCUUAGUUUUCUUCAACUUGAACUGACAAAACCCAGCACUAUUUACAAGUCACUCAAGACUUCAGUCUCCCCGCCCAGAGCCUGCCUGUAUCCGGAUUACCCUUCGUGCUCCCAGAGUGCAAAACCUGGUGCCCCGUGGCAGAUCCCCAGCCCUGAGUGCCGCGCCUGAGGGCAAGCGUCCGGAAGGCUGCACCUUCCAGUACGAGAGAUGCUAGCCAGUAGGGAUGAAGAUUGAAGACUUGCCUUGGACUUUCCAGAUGUGGACACUCAGAAGUUAGGACAGUCUUCUGCAGUGUUCUCUUCCCUGGAAUGAUAACAUGAAGAAAGCCUUCCUGCUGAUUCUUAAGGCACUAAGAUCCAACAUGUGAAGAGCAGCCAAUUCACACCUCCUCCUCUAUGGACCGCUGUUCUUGCCAUCAUGCCUUCUCAGGAUGGACUGAAACCUCCGAACCCCUGAGCCAAGAUAAAUCUUUCCUCUCCCAAGCCAGUAUUUUGUUACAGUUAGGAGAAAAACAGUUAAUCCACAACUUCCACCCAUUUUCAGGUUUGAGGAGGGACACUUGAUAAAGAUCCUAACACUAAAACUUUGUAAGUUUAGUCUUCCCAUUAGUUUCCUCACAAGGACCAAUAGCUUUUUUUUUUUUUUUAAGCUAAUUUUUUUUUAACUGGGGAAUUGAGCUUUGGAAAAGAAUAAGUCAUCAGACCUUUGAGGAUCUAAUGGACUUUGGCCACUGCCUCCACACUGACACCUAGACUCCCACGGUUAGAACAGAAGCUUAUGGUGUCAGGAGAUCAAUUGAAUUUUAGCUUGAGUGCAUUUUGAAGUGGGUCUAGUAGGUUUCCUAAUCUAUCCAGUGGCUACUUCCCCAGUUUCAGAAUGUAUUAUUGGACUAGAGAUACUUGAUAGCAUGCAUGCAGAAACCCUACAUUGGCUUCAUGACCUCUGGAGUGAGGGCAUGGGAAAGUCCAAAUUGAAUUCACUAGAAUGGACGCUUCUUCCUGGGAAAUAAACUCAAAGCGCACCACAUUCCUGGAGGAGCUGCAGAGAUGAGUGCCAACAGUUAGGAUGCUCACCACACAUCCAUUCAACUUGCCUGCCUUUAAAAUGUAGGCAGGUACGCCAAUACAUUUAGGAAGGAACGGGUACUAUUUUAGCCUGAAGAUUUAUGAAGACUGAAUUUAGGGCCAGUAAGAGGGCCCAGUGGGUAAGGACACUUGCCACCAAGUCUGAGUUUGGUCCACAGUUUGGUUUCCUAUUUGGUGGAAGGAAAGAAGCAAUGACCUUUAGUUGUCUUCUGACAGCCACAUGCAUGCCAUGGCAGGCAACCCGCUUACUAACUACAUAUAUGUAGGAAAGAGAUGGAACUGGAGAUGGGGAGAUGGCUUUGGAGUGCUGGGAUCAAACCCAGAGCUAUGUGCAUGCUAGGUAAGCAUUCUACCACUCAGCUAUGUCCCUGGCUUUGUGUACAUUUUUACAUUCAACAGUCUUUUCUCUUUCCAGGAACAUCUAACACAUAGACAGGUUCAUAGCCAACUCAGUUCAUAAAGAGUCGAUAAAGAAACAUAGUAGAGGAACCAUACAAUUUAACUCCUUGGGGUCAUCUAUCAGCAGAGAGGGAAUUUUUUUUAUUCGCUUUAAUCUUGUGUUAUUUCACAGUAGUUUGCAUCAUUGAAAUCAGGUAGGAAUAGAGCCUUGAUGCAAAGAAAAAGGUGAAAGUGUGUGUGUGUGUGUGUGUGUGUGUGUGUGUGUGUGUGUGUGUGUGUGUUAUUUAAGGCCUGUAAAAUGCAUAUCAACUGCUCCAUAAAUUACUAGAUCUUGCAACUCAUUUCAUGUGCCUCAGAGACCUUCUCCCGCCGCCCCCCAAAUUACAGGUACUGUGGCUGAUCCUCAGCCUUCUAAUGAAUUCUAAAACCCAUCACCAUGUGUACUCUGAGGCUACAGUCCCCACUUCUCGGGAGCUGCUCCCAGUAAAACACGAAACGUGGAAGGGAGACUGAGGCAAGCUAGCUCCCACGACUCAUGGACUCAAGGUUCCAUGAUGGUUCUGACAGAUCUUUAGACUAUCUGGGUGGCCAAAAACAUGUCUGGUUAAUUUUCCUUCCUUCGAAACUUAUGUGUGGUCAGCCUUACGUGGCUGCUUGUUUAUUUCCUUCACAGGCUGUCCUGGUUAGUUUUCUAGAAGAGGUAACCUCAACUGAGGAAAUGCCUCCAUAAGCUGGCUUUUCAGGCAAAUCUAUGGGAGUGUUUUCCUGAUAAUUGAUGGAUGUAGCAGAGCUCAGCCCAUUUUCAGUGGUCCCCCUCCUGGAGAAGUGGUCCCGGGAAUAUAAGAAAGCAAACUGAGAAAUCUAGGGCAAAUAAGCCACUGUGCAUCACUCCUCCAUGGCUUCUGUUUCAGCACCUGCCUUCAGAUUCCUGCCUUGACUUCCUGUAGUGAUGGAGUGUGAGCUGAGAGUUGUAAGUUGCUUCUGGUCAUCUUUUAUUAUGGUAAUAGAAACCCUAAGACACAGGCAUUUCCCCUGACUGAAAUCUUGGCAUACUGAACUCUGCCUUUUCCCAGUUGUGUGCUGAAUCUUGUUCCUCUAUGGACUCCGCUGACAUACACUUUAUAGUUUUUCCAGUCACAGAAAAUGUUUGGUGUGUUGCAUUUGGGAUCAAAAGAGUGAGAAUAAAGACAUACAUUUGGCUUAGUUUAGAGAAGCUUUAGGAUUGUGUGUGUGUGUGUGUGUGUGUGUGUGUGUGUGUGUGUGUAAAAAGAGCUGGGAUGAAAAUGCUUCACAAUGCACUUCUAAGAGUUUUAAAAUUUUUUUCAUUCAAACAAAUGUUUAAUAAUUUGAAAUAUAAAACCAAAUGAUGGGAUUAAUAAUGCAAAUUUUUGAAAAACAAAAUCAAAGGCCCUGGAGAUAGCACACAUUUGCCCCACUGAAAAGGGACAUCUAUUGCUCUGUGGUUAGUUAAGUGAUACUUAAGAUUAGCUAGCUGAACUUCAGGACUAGAGAGGUAACUCAAUCAGUAAAGUGAUUGACAUGUAACCCCCAGCAGCUGACUUUGAGCCCUAGAACCCAUGUAAAAAAGGUAGGCUUAGAAGCACACCUUUGUAAUUGUAGCAUUGGGAGGCAGAUUUGGAUUCCUGGGACUAGAUAGCAAGACAACCUGAUUAUUUGGUGAGUUCCAGCCCAGUGAGAGAUCCUGUUUCAAGAAAGAAGCUGGGCAAUGUUUUUUUUUUUUUUAUUGGUAAAGAAUUUGUUUCCUUCAUUCCCUACUGUCAUUUAAUUUUGAACAUUACUAUGGACUUGAUGCUUUUUAGUAAGUAUAUCUUAAUUUUUUUAUCAUAAUUCUUGUUACUAAAAUCCUUGCAUACUGAACUCUGCCUUUGUAUCUGUUCUUCAGAAGACCCUACCAACACACCAAUUCGAAACCCAGUGUUAUCUAAGAGUGGGCAAUCUGAGGGAAGGAAUCAGCAAGUCGAGCACAGGAGGGGAACAAUUGGAAAUGUUUAAUGACAUGAAAUUACUGUAACAAACCCAAUGCUUUGUAUGCUAAAUUAAAAAAAAAUAAUGAAAGGGGUUGUCUUAGUUAGGGUUUCUAUUGCUGUGGAGAGACACCAUGCCAUGGUAACUCUUAUAAAGGAGAAUAUUUAAUUGAGGUUGCUUGCUUACAGUUCAGA